rnacentral:sRNA from 1 species
GCCAGGCGUGGUAGCGCAUGCCUGUAAUCCUAGUGGCUCAGGAGGCUGAGACAGGAGGAUGGGGAGUUCAAAACCAGCCUUGGCAAUUUUGCAAGGCACUAGGCAACUCUGGAGACCCUGUCUAUA